CCCCCGGUCAGGCGGGAGCACCCGCUGAAUUUAAGCAUAUAAAUAAGCGGUGGAGAAGAAACCUACGAGGAUUCCCAUAGUAGCGGCGAGCGAACCGGGAANAGCCCAGUAUGAGAAUCUGGCGGUCGGUGCCGUCCGAAUUGUAGUCUGUAGAAGCGUCCUCAGUGGCGGACCGCGCCCAAGUCUCCUGGAAAGGAGUGCCCGAGAGGGUGAAAGUCCCGUUCGGCGCGGUAUUUGCCUCACCACGAGGCGCUGUCGGCGAGUCGGGUUGUUUGCGAAUGCAGCCUAAAGCGGGCGGUAAACUCCGUCCAAGGCUAAAUACGGGCGANAGACCGAUAGCGAACAAGUACCGCGAGGGAAGGAUGAAAAGGACUUUGAAAAGAGAGUCAACAAGUGCUUGAAAUUGCCGGGAGGGAAGCGGAUGCGGGCCGGCGUUGCGCCGCGGUCGGAUGUGGAACGGCCUCUCAUGGUCCGCCACUCGUCCCGCGGCGCGUUCCGUCGCCGGCCGCACCGGCGGCCAGAGCCCAGCAUUGAUCGGCGGGGAAUCGCCGUCGCCGGUGCGGCCGAGUCUCGUGCGCCGUCACGGCAUGCCCCUCGGGGCGGCACGUGCGAUGGCCUGUGGGCUCCCCAUCCGGCCCGUCUUGAAACACGGACCAAGGAGUCUGACAUGCGUGCGAGUCGACGGGUAUGGAGACCCAGUGGGCAUAAAGAAGCUGACGAGCGGGAACGCCCGGCUCUGCCGUGCCGCCCGCUGGCCGACUCCGAUCUUCUGUGAUGGGUUUGAGUUUGAGCACGCAUGACGGGACCCGAAAGAUGGUGAACUAUGCCUGAGCGAGGCGAAGCCAGAGGAAACUCUGGUGGAGGCCCGAAGCGAUACUGACGUGCAAAUCGUUCGUCUGACUUGGGUAUGGGGGCGAAAGACUAAUCGAACCGUCUAGUAGCUGGUUCCCUCCGAAGUUUCCCUCAGGAUAGC
rnacentral:rRNA from 1 species